AACGAACGCUGGCGGCAGGCCUAACACAUGCAAGUCGAGCGAGGACUUCGGUCCUAGCGGCGGACGGGUGAGUAACGCGUGGGAACGUGCCCUUUGCUUCGGAAUAGCCCUGGGAAACUGGGAGUAAUACCGGAUGAGCCCUUUGGGGGAAAGAUUUAUCGGCGAAGGAUCGGCCCGCGUUGGAUUAGGUAGUUGGUGGGGUAAUGGCCUACCAAGCCGACGAUCCAUAGCUGGUUUGAGAGGAUGAUCAGCCACACUGGGACUGAGACACGGCCCAGACCCCUACGGGGGGCAGCGGGGGGGAAUCUUAAACAAGGGGGGAAACCCGAAUCAAGCCAGGCCGGGGGGGCGAUGAAGGCCUUGGGGUUGAAAAGCUUUUUCAGCGGGAAAGAAAAGGAGGGAACCGGCAAAAAAAGCCCGGGCAACCUCCGG
rnacentral:rRNA from 1 species